rnacentral:rRNA from 1 species
ACACUAUCAUUAACUGAAUCCAUAGGUUAAUGAGGCGAACCGGGGGAACUGAAACAUCUAAGUACCCCGAGGAAAAGAAAUCAACCGAGAUUCCCCCAGUAGCGGCGAGCGAACGGGGAGCAGCCCAGAGCCUGAAUCAGUGUGUGUGUUAGUGGAAGCGUCUGGAAAGGCGCGCGAUACAGGGUGACAGCCCCGUACACAAAAAUGCACAUGCUGUGAGCUCGAUGAGUAGGGCGGGACACGUGGUAUCCUGUCUGAAUAUGGGGGGACCAUCCUCCAAGGCUAAAUACUCCUGACUGACCGAUAGUGAACCAGUACCGUGAGGGAAAGGCGAAAAGAACCCCGGCGAGGGGAGUGAAAAAGAACCUGAAACCGUGUACGUACAAGCAGUGGGAGCACGCUUCGGCGUGUGACUGCGUACCUUUUGUAUAAUGGGUCAGCGACUUAUAUUCUGUAGCAAGGUUAACCGAAUAGGGGAGCCGAAGGGAAACCGAGUCUUAACUGGGCGUUAAGUUGCAGGGUAUAGACCCGAAACCCGGUGAUCUAGCCAUGGGCAGGUUGAAGGUUGGGUAACACUAACUGGAGGACCGAACCGACUAAUGUUGAAAAAUUAGCGGAUGACUUGUGGCUGGGGGUGAAAGGCCAAUCAAACCGGGAGAUAGCUGGUUCUCCCCGAAAGCUAUUUAGGUAGCGCCUCGUGAAUUCAUCUCCGGGGGUAGAGCACUGUUUCGGCAAGGGGGUCAUCCCGACUUACCAACCCGAUGCAAACUGCGAAUACCGGAGAAUGUUAUCACGGGAGACACACGGCGGGUGCUAACGUCCGUCGUGAAGAGGGAAACAACCCAGACCGCCAGCUAAGGUCCCAAAGUCAUGGUUAAGUGGGAAACGAUGUGGGAAGGCCCAGACAGCCAGGAUGUUGGCUUAGAAGCAGCCAUCAUUUAAAGAAAGCGUAAUAGCUCACUGGUCGAGUCGGCCUGCGCGGAAGAUGUAACGGGGCUAAACCAUGCACCGAAGCUGCGGCAGCGACGCUUAUGCGUUGUUGGGUAGGGGAGCGUUCUGUAAGCCUGUGAAGGUGUGCUGUGAGGCAUGCUGGAGGUAUCAGAAGUGCGAAUGCUGACAUAAGUAACGAUAAAGCGGGUGAAAAGCCCGCUCGCCGGAAGACCAAGGGUUCCUGUCCAACGUUAAUCGGGGCAGGGUGAGUCGACCCCUAAGGCGAGGCCGAAAGGCGUAGUCGAUGGGAAACAGGUUAAUAUUCCUGUACUUGGUGUUACUGCGAAGGGGGGACGGAGAAGGCUAUGUUGGCCGGGCGACGGUUGUCCCGGUUUAAGCGUGUAGGCUGGUUUUCCAGGCAAAUCCGGAAAAUCAAGGCUGAGGCGUGAUGACGAGGCACUACGGUGCUGAAGCAACAAAUGCCCUGCUUCCAGGAAAAGCCUCUAAGCAUCAGGUAACAUCAAAUCGUACCCCAAACCGACACAGGUGGUCAGGUAGAGAAUACCAAGGCGCUUGAGAGAACUCGGGUGAAGGAACUAGGCAAAAUGGUGCCGUAACUUCGGGAGAAGGCACGCUGAUAUGUAGGUGAGGUCCCUCGCGGAUGGAGCUGAAAUCAGUCGAAGAUACCAGCUGGCUGCAACUGUUUAUUAAAAACACAGCACUGUGCAAACACGAAAGUGGACGUAUACGGUGUGACGCCUGCCCGGUGCCGGAAGGUUAAUUGAUGGGGUUAGCGGUAACGCGAAGCUCUUGAUCGAAGCCCCGGUAAACGGCGGCCGUAACUAUAACGGUCCUAAGGUAGCGAAAUUCCUUGUCGGGUAAGUUCCGACCUGCACGAAUGGCGUAAUGAUGGCCAGGCUGUCUCCACCCGAGACUCAGUGAAAUUGAACUCGCUGUGAAGAUGCAGUGUACCCGCGGCAAGACGGAAAGACCCCGUGAACCUUUACUAUAGCUUGACACUGAACAUUGAGCCUUGAUGUGUAGGAUAGGUGGGAGGCUUUGAAGUGUGGACGCCAGUCUGCAUGGAGCCGACCUUGAAAUACCACCCUUUAAUGUUUGAUGUUCUAACGUUGACCCGUAAUCCGGGUUGCGGACAGUGUCUGGUGGGUAGUUUGACUGGGGCGGUCUCCUCCUAAAGAGUAACGGAGGAGCACGAAGGUUGGCUAAUCCUGGUCGGACAUCAGGAGGUUAGUGCAAUGGCAUAAGCCAGCUUGACUGCGAGCGUGACGGCGCGAGCAGGUGCGAAAGCAGGUCAUAGUGAUCCGGUGGUUCUGAAUGGAAGGGCCAUCGCUCAACGGAUAAAAGGUACUCCGGGGAUAACAGGCUGAUACCGCCCAAGAGUUCAUAUCGACGGCGGUGUUUGGCACCUCGAUGUCGGCUCAUCACAUCCUGGGGCUGAAGUAGGUCCCAAGGGUAUGGCUGUUCGCCAUUUAAAGUGGUACGCGAGCUGGGUUUAGAACGUCGUGAGACAGUUCGGUCCCUAUCUGCCGUGGGCGCUGGAGAACUGAGGGGGGCUGCUCCUAGUACGAGAGGACCGGAGUGGACGCAUCACUGGUGUUCGGGUUGUCAUGCCAAUGGCACUGCCCGGUAGCUAAAUGCGGAAGAGAUAAGUGCUGAAAGCAUCUAAGCACGAAACUUGCCCCGAGAUGAGUUCUCCCUGACUCCUUGAGAGUCCUGAAGGAACGUUGAAGACGACGACGUUGAUAGGCCGGGUGUGUAAGCGCAGCGAUGCGUUGAGCUAACCGGUACUAAUGAACCGUGAGGCUUAACCUU